UACAGAGGUCCCGAGCCGUUGUUCAGAUUCAUUGGGCGUUAAAGGGGUGCGAGUAGGCGGGUCUUCUAAGUUUGAUGUGAAAUCCCGGGGCUCAACCCUGGAAUUGCAUUGAAUACUGGAGGACUAGAGUACCGGAGAGGAAACUGGAAUUUACGGUGUAGCAGUGAAAUGCGUAGAGAUCGUAAGGAAGACCAGUGGCGAAGGCGAGUUUCUGGACGGUAACUGACGCUGAGGCACGAAGGCCAGGGGGAGCAAAACGGG
rnacentral:rRNA from 1 species